GGGUUGUGAGGUUAAGCGACUAAGCGUACACGGUGGAUGCCCUGGCAGUCAGAGGCGAUGAAGGACGUGCUAAUCUGCGAAAAGCGUCGGUAAGGUGAUAUGAACCGUUACAGCCGGCGAUGUCCGAAUGGGGAAACCCAGUGCAAUUCGUUGCACUAUCGUUAACUGAAUACAUAGGUUAACGAGGCGAACCGGGGGAACUGAAACAUCUAAGUACCCCGAGGAAAAGAAAUCAACCGAGAUUCCCCCAGUAGCGGCGAGCGAACGGGGAGCAGCCCAGAGUCUGAAUCAGCUUGUGUGUUAGUGGAACGGUCUGGAAAGUCCGACGGUACAGGGUGAUAGUCCCGUACACCAAAAUGCACAGGCUGUGAACUCGAAGAGUAGGGCGGGACACGUGGUAUCCUGUCUGAAUAUGGGGGGACCAUCCUCCAAGGCUAAAUACUCCUGACUGACCGAUAGUGAACCAGUACCGUGAGGGAAAGGCGAAAAAGAACCCCGGCGAGGGGAGUGAAAAAGAACCUGAAACCGUGUACGUACAAGCAGUGGGAGCACCUUCGGGUGUGACUGCGUACCUUUUGUAUAAUGGGUCAGCGACUUAUAUUCUGUAGCAAGGUUAACCGUAUAGGGGAGCCGCAGGGAAACCGAGUCUUAACUGGGCGUUAAGUUGCAGGGUAUAGACCCGAAACCCGGUGAUCUAGCCAUGGGCAGGUUGAAGGUUGGGUAACACUAACUGGAGGACCGAACCGACUAAUGUUGAAAAAUUAGCGGAUGACUUGUGGCUGGGGGUGAAAGGCCAAUCAAACCGGGAGAUAGCUGGUUCUCCCCGAAAGCUAUUUAGGUAGCGCCUCGUGAAUUCAUCUUCGGGGGUAGAGCACUGUUUCGGCUAGGGGGUCAUCCCGACUUACCAACCCGAUGCAAACUACGAAUACCGAAGAAUGUUAUCACGGGAGACACACGGCGGGUGCUAACGUCCGUCGUGAAGAGGGAAACAACCCAGACCGCCAGCUAAGGUCCCAAAGUCAUGGUUAAGUGGGAAACGAUGUGGGAAGGCACAGACAGCCAGGAUGUUGGCUUAGAAGCAGCCAUCAUUUAAAGAAAGCGUAAUAGCUCACUGGUCGAGUCGGCCUGCGCGGAAGAUGUAACGGGGCUAAACCAUGCACCGAAGCUGCGGCAGCGACACUAUGUGUUGUUGGGUAGGGGAGCGUUCUGUAAGCCUGCGAAGGUGACCUGUGAGGGUUGCUGGAGGUAUCAGAAGUGCGAAUGCUGACAUAAGUAACGAUAAAGCGGGUGAAAAGCCCGCUCGCCGGAAGACCAAGGGUUCCUGUCCAACGUUAAUCGGGGCAGGGUGAGUCGACCCCUAAGGCGAGGCCGAAAGGCGUAGUCGAUGGGAAACAGGUUAAUAUUCCUGUACUUGGUGUUACUGCGAAGGGGGGACGGAGAAGGCUAUGUUAGCCGGGCGACGGUUGUCCCGGUUUAAGCAUGUAGGCUGGUUGUCCAGGCAAAUCCGGAUAAUCAAGGCUGAGGUGUGAUGACGAGGCACUACGGUGCUGAAGUAACAAAUGCCCUGCUUCCAGGAAAAGCCUCUAAGCAUCAGGUAACAUCAAAUCGUACCCCAAACCGACACAGGUGGUCAGGUAGAGAAUACCAAGGCGCUUGAGAGAACUCGGGUGAAGGAACUAGGCAAAAUGGUGCCGUAACUUCGGGAGAAGGCACGCUGGUGUGUAGGUGAAGUCCCUGCGGAUGGAGCUGAGACCAGUCGAAGAUACCAGCUGGCUGCAACUGUUUAUUAAAAACACAGCACUGUGCAAACACGAAAGUGGACGUAUACGGUGUGACGCCUGCCCGGUGCCGGAAGGUUAAUUGAUGGGGUUAUCCGUAAGGAGAAGCUCUUGAUCGAAGCCCCGGUAAACGGCGGCCGUAACUAUAACGGUCCUAAGGUAGCGAAAUUCCUUGUCGGGUAAGUUCCGACCUGCACGAAUGGCGUAAUGAUGGCCAGGCUGUCUCCACCCGAGACUCAGUGAAAUUGAACUCGCUGUGAAGAUGCAGUGUACCCGCGGCAAGACGGAAAGACCCCGUGAACCUUUACUAUAGCUUGACACUGAACAUUGAGCCUUGAUGUGUAGGAUAGGUGGGAGGCUUUGAAGCGUGGACGCCAGUCUGCGUGGAGCCAACCUUGAAAUACCACCCUUUAAUGUUUGAUGUUCUAACGUUGGCCCCUUACCGGGGUUGCGGACAGUGUCUGGUGGGUAGUUUGACUGGGGCGGUCUCCUCCCAAAGCGUAACGGAGGAGCACGAAGGUUAGCUAAUCCUGGUCGGACAUCAGGAGGUUAGUGCAAUGGCAUAAGCUAGCUUGACUGCGAGCGUGACGGCGCGAGCAGGUGCGAAAGCAGGUCAUAGUGAUCCGGUGGUUCUGAAUGGAAGGGCCAUCGCUCAACGGAUAAAAGGUACUCCGGGGAUAACAGGCUGAUACCGCCCAAGAGUUCAUAUCGACGGCGGUGUUUGGCACCUCGAUGUCGGCUCAUCACAUCCUGGGGCUGAAGUAGGUCCCAAGGGUAUGGCUGUUCGCCAUUUAAAGUGGUACGCGAGCUGGGUUUAGAACGUCGUGAGACAGUUCGGUCCCUAUCUGCCGUGGGCGCUGGAGAAUUGAGGGGGGCUGCUCCUAGUACGAGAGGACCGGAGUGGACGCAUCACUGGUGUUCGGGUUGUCAUGCCAAUGGCACUGCCCGGUAGCUAAAUGCGGAAGAGAUAAGUGCUGAAAGCAUCUAAGCACGAAACUUGCCCCGAGAUGAGUUCUCCCUGAGACUUUAAGUCUCCUGAAGGAACGUUAAAGACGAUGACGUUGAUAGGCCGGGUGUGUAAGCGCAGCGAUGCGUUGAGCUAACCGGUACUAAUGAACCGUGAGGCUUAACCUUACAACGCCGAAG
rnacentral:rRNA from 1 species